rnacentral:tRNA from 2 species
GCCCCUGUAGCUCAGUGGUAGAGCACUUCCAUGGUAAGGAAGGGGUCACCGGUUCAAAUCCGGUCGGGGGCU